AGAGCCCUGAGAUGUUCGUGAACCACCGACAGUUUUGAGCCAACACCUUUUAAGCGGGAGCCUGCGUCAUCCGUGAGCGCGAAUGCCCUUUACGGGACUUGUUAACACGGGUGCAGGGCACCCACCUGCCACGAGCAGGUUCAAAACUUAGGGAGCCACGGCAUAAUGGGGCUCUU
rnacentral:other from 2 species